UACGACGCGAAGCGAGACCGCACCGUGAUUCUUUUACGCGACUAACAAUAAGUGCAUGUGACAGGAAUUAUAGUAGUUUACGUUUACGUGAGUAUUACUUCUGUAGUAACUUAUACGAACGAUAUCAUUGUAGUUACUAUAAAAUCUCCCGUUUAUGCAGAGGAAUUAUCGUAUCGUUCGUAUAAGUUACUACAGAAUUAAGUAACGUUCGCGUAAACGUAGUAUAGGUUAGAUUACCGGUUUCUUAUUUUACAUAAAACGCGAGAUUCACUUAUGUAUUGUGACGUGACAUAGUCACGUCCCCUGUCCAGACGAUAGCUCGACCGGGGGGAACGUCCGGGAUGUCGUCUCCGCCGGAGCGAGGCGGGGCGGCAGCGUUAGAAUUCGGUACCUUAUAUUAUUUUCGAGGAUUUUAGGUAUCGAGUAGAUGGCCAGGAGGAAAUUGUAACGACUUGAGUCGCGCCGAGGGAGUUUACGGGAGGCGUUCUACGUAGGAGUUGGCCGGCGGGCGGGUCACGAUUGGGCCCAUAUGCCGACGUUGCUUGGAGCGUCUCGCAGGGCGAGCGCAUCAGCCCCGAUGUUCGCCGGGAUGAAGCCUGCCGAAUCGCGAGAUCGCCACGGAGCAUUGCCUACCGGUCGACGGAGCCAUGGCCUGGCCAGCUUGGCCGUCAUACACCGGCACCAGAGUCGCGGCCCGGUCAGCCGGACUCGAGAAUAGGCUUUUCAAACCUGCCGCCGGCGAGCGAGGAAGCCACGAGGGGCGCCGACGGAAGCGGGAGGCGCUCGGCUCGCAUAGGGCUGAUCGGCAAGGAGGGCUUGCAAGCACGGCGCGCGCAGGCGCGGGCCCGACGUGAUCCCGCCGAGCUAGAGGAUCGUCACUGUCGUGUCGGCGUGGCAAGGGACGACAUCCCGAGAGGACCGGCAGCCGAGCUGCGGAAUUUGUAAGGCCACUACUCGAGUACCUCGUAACUCACGUUUGAGUACACGUAAGAUCAUUCUGACGGCCUGGGCCCUUCCGAGAGCCGCGUAGAUUGCGGGAAGCGUGCUUAGAGAAUCGCGUACUGUGUCGCGAAGUAUUUUGUAGCAUCGCGUUUGUGCAUAUGAGUAUUAUCGAGUAAAUAAUUAUUGAAUGGAAUACUGACGGAGGGCCCGGCCAACAGAGUAAUGUGGGAUCGCCCUGCCCGAAAAAUCGUACGCGGCCGACAGUCAUCGUGUGAUUCGUUGUAGUUUUCGUCGUGUCUUCGUGUUUCGUGUAAUAGCGUUUUGUGUAACCAUGGUGCGUAAUGUAGCGAGGUGUCCUUCGCGCCGAGGUGGACCGUAUUGUCGCAGAACGGGGGAGUAAUGUUUGCGCAAUCACGUCCCGGGGCGUGAGGCACCGGUCUUGGAUCUUUGGGGCUUUUCGCGGGAGGCCCGCGUCUAGCCAUUUUGGGACCAUUUGCGAGACGUCGCGGAUGGUCAUUUCGGGACCACCGACUGGGAACGAUUUGGCAGUUGGGAAGUCGUUGCGCGUAGGUAUUGUGUCUUUUCGGGACUACCAACUGGGAACGAUUUGGCAGUUGGGAAGUCGUUGCGCGUAGGUAUUGUGUCUUGCGUUCGUGUAAUCGCGUAUUGUAUAUUGCGGUCGUGUAACUGCGUCUUAUAAGUUGCGUCCUUAGACUAAUGUCCGCGUUAUUGUAUCUCAUAGUUCCCGCGUUCCGCAGAAAAAUAUCUGAGAGACAAAUUGUAAUUCACCGAUUCAGUCUGAAACAACUUGCUGAUUUAUUCUCACGUAAUCUUUUCUGUCAAAUACAUUAUUUUUGUAUUAUUGUUAUUUGCGUGUGUUAACUGUGCUACGUUCCCUUUCCUCCUCCGACCGCGAUUACCCGAAGAAACUCACACCUGAGAGAAUAGCGAUCUUGUGGAUCGUGGUGCGAGGAUUCGCACCUGGCACCCAACAUUUCGAGGAAUUUAGUCGAGCUACCAUCUGGGUUUCUGAGAGUCUUGUCGUGAUUGAUUUUUCGUAAAAUCUUUAGUGAACAAAGCGACGGCGCGCUCCUUCACGGCCGGCGAGACCGUGAGGACAUCGUCGUGGUCGUCACAGUAUGCAAGUUUAACGCCUAUUGAGUUAAUAUGAAAUAAUUUUCCUAAAUGUAAAAAUAACACAAUGUUAUAUAUGCGGUUUGGCGUGAAUAUAUAUCGCGACAAUAGCCGAGGUGAUCGAAGAAGUUGUGUAUAAUGUCCCAAUUCAACGGCCCCUGUUAUCAUUUCUCCUUUUGCAAAAUUUGAAAAACAGCAUGAUGUAUUGGUUGGUAUAACAAUGAAUUGCUGCCAGUUUUAGAUGUAUUAAACAGUAAGUGAUAUAAUCUUAACACGUUGAAUAAAAUGAAAUCAGGAUAUUCUGAUUGUACAAUACAUUUUUACUUUGUAGAGGAUGAUUACGUGGCUGUAUAUUGGAAGGACAAAUGGAUUAGAGGAUGCAUUGAACGUCCAGAUCCAUCGGGAGAGAGAAGCAUAGUACGAUUAUUCGAUCACGGUGGUUACUGGCAGUUUAGUAAUUCGUAAUGUAGGCCAUUGAUAUAUAAUUAUUUGAGCCUACCCUUGCUACCCUUCCAAGCCAUCGAAAUCUUUUUAGCAAAUAUUCAACCAAAGAACGGUAAAUGGUCGACAGAAGCUUACAAUGUGGUACAAAAUUGUUCCUCAAAGGGAGUUGCUGCUCAAGCUCAGUUUGAAGGUCGCAUUCAAACUAAUAUUUUUGCAAAUAUUUAUUUUAUGAUACAAAAUUAUGAGCUAAUUUCCCUUACUGAAGAACUGGUAACGAACGGACAUGCUGAACAAGUAGCAUGGGACCAGAGGAAGCCAGAAACAUUUGAAUCCAUCUGUAUACAUAAGACUUAUCAAGAAACAAUUCUACAAUUUUCACGCAUAAUCCGCGAUUUUUAGUUAGUAUGGACUAGAGUUUAAUACAAUCGCCAUUAAUGAUCCCCUUUAAUCGCGUCAAAAUUGAUUAUUUCGCUUUUUGAUUUUGUUCUUUACUCAUGUUGUAAAAUAUUUUUCCGAUUGUGUAGAAUAUUUAUAUUUAGAAAGAAAGAAAUUUAUAAAGAUUGCUAUAUUGAUCGUAGAGUAGAGAAAACAAUAACUUAACAUUUUACAAAGUAGUGUCACAUUUAAACUAGAACAUUUGUAUCGAAUUACUCAGACGAAUUAGGAAAUUUGUUUCUACGUGACUAAUAUCUAUUUCUGAUUGGGGACGAUUCGAGAACUCAUUAAAAUAUUUUAAUUUCUUUUCACAUUUAAUUUAGAUCACCGUAGAUUAAACUUGUUACUUAAAAAGUUAUUGUUAAAUGGCGAAUUUUAUUUAACAUCUCGUGUCAUCUUUUCACAUUAUUUAAAGGUUGCUAAUUCAUUUAAAGAUUCGUCUUUUGAACAUUAUUUUUCAGUAUUUGUAUUCCGCACUUCACUGUCAUGGCAUAAUAGUUAUU